AGAGUUUGAUCCUGGCUCAGGACGAACGCUGGCGGCCUAGCCUAACACAUGCAAGUCGAACGGACAUGGCGAGGAUAUAGCGAUAUAUUUUGAGCUAUGUUAGUGGCGAACGGGUGAGUAACACGUGAGCAACCUGCCCUUUACUACGGGAUAACGCUCGGAAACAGGCGCUAAUACGGUAUAAGACCACACUAUGGCAUCAUAGAGCGGUAAAAGCGAUUUAGCGGGUAAAGGAUGGGCUCGCGUCCAAUUAGCUGGUUGGUAGGGUAACGGCCUACCAAGGCGACGAUUGGUAGCCGACCUGAGAGGGUGAUCGGCCACACUGGAACUGAGACACGGUCCAGACUCCUACGGGAGGCAGCAGUGGGGAAUAUUGGGCAAUGGAGGAAACUCUUACCCAGCAAUGCCGCGUGAGCGAAGAAGGUCUUCGGAUUGUAAAGCNUCUUUGAUCC
rnacentral:rRNA from 1 species